rnacentral:misc_RNA from 1 species
GGGAAAAUAGUCUAAAAGAGGCAUAACGUCAUAAUCAGCAAACAGCCUUGAAGUGUCUCAUUAUCGAAUAUGGAUCCAAGUAGGAGGAUCUGCAAAUGCUGGAGGAACUGUAUUUUGUAAUUCUUGCAAUUGGCAUCAGCUAGUUCAAUAUUUAUCCAAUCGGACGACAAUGAUGUGCCACAGCGUUUUUACUAGUAUUAUAAUAUUUGCCAAAUGGAUGGGGUGGCAACAGAAAAUGACAACUAAUUUAUACAAUUGAAUCGACCAUUUGAUAUACUAGACUUUUCAGUGGUCCACCAG